rnacentral:rRNA from 1 species
CCCUUAGACACUCUAGGCGGCACGCGCGCUACAAUGGGUGGAAGAACGUGUUACUGCCUCCGAAAGGAGGGGUGAAUCACGAAUUCUUGCCCGUGAAUGGGAUAGUUUGUUGCAAUUUUCGGACUUGAACUAGGAAUCCCUUGUAAACAUGCUCAAGAAUAGCGUGUUGAAUACGUCCCUGCCGUUUGUACACACCGCCCGUCGUUUCUUCCGACUGAUACUCAUUGUGAGUUGCAUGGACCCUUUAUUGGGAAAUUGCUGCAAAUGCUUUGUAUUGGAGGAAGAAAAAGUCGUAACA